rnacentral:rRNA from 1 species
AGAACGAACGCUGGCGGCAUGCCUAAUACAUGCAAGUCGAACGAACACUUCGGUGUUAGUGGCGCACGGGUGCGUAACGCGUGGGAAUCUGCCCUUGGGUUCGGAAUAACAGUUGGAAACGACUGCUAAUACCGGAUGAUGACGAAAGUCCAAAGAUUUAUCGCCCAGGGAUGAGCCCGCGUAGGAUUAGCUAGUUGGUGAGGUAAAGGCUCACCAAGGCGACGAUCCUUAGCUGGUCUGAGAGGAUGAUCAGCCACACUGGGACUGAGACACGGCCCAGACUCCUACGGGAGCAGCAGUAGGAAUAUUGGACAAGUGGGCGCAAGCCUGAUCCGAGCAAUCGCCGCGUGAGUGAUGAAGGUCCGUUAGGGUUAGUAAAGCUUCUUUUACCCGAGUA